GGCAAAGAAAAAUAAAUAACGUAGAUAUUCAUGGAAAGUCCAUAACCCAGGACCGAUGAGUAACUUGAAAAUGCAGGCAAGAGUCUACUGCCCUUUUAUCGUUUUUGCCUCUUGUUUCUAUUGCCUUUUAUUGCCUCUAUUGAUGGCAAUAGAAGCUGUGAACAUGGUAAGGAAAAAAGAGACUGCUAAAACGGACCUGGCACUGAGUCUUGUCACACAGCAUUGCAGGUCAAUGAGAACACAAGCCGAAUUUGACUUGACCUUUUUAAAAUCUUCACUGUAACCUUGAUCACCCUCUUAACUGAAUUAUGGAUCUCAGGUUGGUUGUGUCUUUAAUGUUCUUCACUCAUUUAUAUUAAAUGGCUAUUUGUUGUUGUUGUUGCUGUUUUGUCAAUUGGUUCAAUGAAAAUGGCCAUAUCCAAAUGGUCAAGAACAACUAAGCAGAGAUGUUACUUGUCAUAAAUAAUAGAGAAGAUUUUCAAAGAUGUUGGAAUAUGUAAUGGUAACGUCCUUGUGAAUUCAGAAGAGUGAAGAACUGUCUCGUUUGAGAAGAAAAGGCCAUCUUAUUCUAGUGAAUAAGGGAGGUUUGUUGUAAGAAACGGAGGACUGAAAAAGUCUAUGAAGAACAAGAUAUAGCCAAUAUGACUCACGGCAGGUGAGAGGACACAGCUGGAGAAGAGCAAGUCCAGGCUUCCGCUUCCCUUGGGUGGCUGACUUCUAGAUCUGCAAUGCUUAAUCAUAAAAAAAAGGAAGCAAUGGUUGAGGACAUUAAAUGAGAAAUGUGUCUUCAAAGUACCUCGCCUGAAGAGCCAAGAUAAUUUACCAAGCCCGGAAAAGGGCAAGAGCACAUCAGGAUCAGGAUGGACACAACAGAGCUCAGUCUUGAGAAACAAUCGCAGUCCACGUCACCUCACUCAACUUCUAUUCUGUGGCCAGAACAGCCUUCAUGACGUGAACGUUCACCUGUCUUCCUCCUGGUUGCACUUUCAUAAUGGACUAUAAGAUGAAUUCUAAACACUUUUGCAAAGAAUAUAAGACUCUUCGGUAUUAGACACCUGCCUCCCCACUCAGAUUAAUCUUCCAAUGCUGUUCCCUUUGUCUGGACUACCUGAGACUCCCACAAGUCCCACAGCUUCACUUGAAAUGCUCCCUUCUUCAUGAAAAUUCCCUGUCUCUUGAAGGCAUGCUUAGAUGACACG
rnacentral:lncRNA from 1 species